rnacentral:rRNA from 1 species
AGAGUUUGAUCCUGGCUCAGAGUGAACGCUGGCGGCAGGCCUAACACAUGCAAGUCGAGCGGCAGCGCGGUGUAGCAAUACACUGGCGGCGAGCGGCGGACGGGUGAGGAAUGCGUCGGAAUCUGCCUCUUUGUGGGGGAUAACGUAGGGAAACUUACGCUAAUACCGCAUACGACCUACGGGUGAAAGUGGGGGACCGCAAGGCCUCACGCAGAGAGAUGAGCCGACGCCGGAUUAGCUAGUUGGCGGGGUAAAGGCCCACCAAGGCGACGAUCCGUAGCUGGUCUGAGAGGAUGAUCAGCCACACUGGAACUGAGACACGGUCCAGACUCCUACGGGAGGCAGCAGUGGGGAAUAUUGGACAAUGGGCGCAAGCCUGAUCCAGCCAUGCCGCGUGUGUGAAGAAGGCCUUCGGGUUGUAAAGCACUUUUGUCCGGAAAGAAAUCCUUUCGAUUAAUACUCGGGAGGGAUGACGGUACCGGAAGAAUAAGCACCGGCUAACUUCGUGCCAGCAGCCGCGGUAAUACGAAGGGUGCAAGCGUUACUCGGAAUUACUGGGGCGUAAAGCGUGCGUAGGUGGUUCGUUAAGUCUGAUGUGAAAGCCCUGGGCUCAACCUGGGAAUGGCAUUGGAUACUGGCGACCUAGAGUGCGGUAGAGGGGUGUGGAAUUCCCGGUGUAGCAGUGAAAUGCGUAGAUAUCGGGAGGAACAUCUGUGGCGGAGGCGACACCCUGGACCAGCACUGACACUGAGGCACGAAAGCGUGGGGGAGCAAACAGGAUUAGAUACCCUGGUAGUCCA